CUUGAGAGGUGCCCGAAGCUAAGCUGGAGGAGGAUGGUGCGUCAAGGUUCUGAGCGGAAGCUGUAGAAGAUUGGGUGUCCUGUGUUAGCCAGUCAACUAUGUCCUCAGAACUUUUCGAGUUCAGGGUACGUGGCCUCUGUACAAUGGGCAUUAUUCUAGGGCCAAAUGGAAUCACAGCACCACGACCACGACGGCCCCUGCGGGGUGGCCUGCCUCUGCCUGUCAUUUUUUUUCUGAUUAGUGGUACUAUGCGUGAAAGCUACUGUGACAACAGAUAUGAGUGUCACUGUGCAGUGGCAGAAGUUGGCAGAGUAGACGCUGUAGGCCUGACACACACGCUUGCAGACAACUAACUGCUAUUCAAUCUAUUACAGUCGAAAUUGCAUUUUUUUUUUUUAAAUGUACACUACUGUUACACCAGAUAUGAGUUGCACUGGUGUGACACUGUGCCCUGGCAGGCCCUGAAACGCACACGCGUGAAGGAAACUGACUGCUAUUAUAUUACAGUCCAAAAAGCUUUGUUUUUUUUAAAUGCAAGCUAUUGGGACACCAGUGAGUGAGUGGUGGCACUGGGCAGGCCCUGAAACGCACACUCGUGAAGGAAACUGACUGCUAUUAUAUUACAGUCCAAAAAGCUUUGUUUUUUUUAAAUGCAAGCUAUUGGGACACCAGUGAGUGAGUGGUGGCACUGGGCAGGCCCUGAAAUGCACACUCGUGAAGGAAACUGACUGCUAUUAUAUUACAGUCCAAAAAGCUUUUUUUUAAAUGCAUCUAUUGGGACACCAGUGAGUGAGUGGUGGCACUGGGCAGGCCCUGAAACACACACUCGUGAAAGAAACUGACUGCUAUUAUAUUACAGUCCAAAAAGUUUUUGUUUUUUUUUAAAUGCAAGCUAUUGGGACACCAGUGAGUGAGUGGUGGCACUGGGCAGGCCCUGGACAGCAGAGAUCAGAUGAGUCCUUCAAGACUGUAGUGGACACUGAAUACACUAGCCUAGCUAUCAAUUUCCCUAUCAAAUCAGCAGCAGCUACACUGUCCCUCCUCUCUAAGAAUGCAG